GUUGGUUGUAAUGGUAAGCUUUCUUCGUUGCGGUGAAUCCCCCUAUGCGGAGGGGCAACCAGUCAAAAGAUACAUCCUUUUGCAGGUCUGCUGACUGGAGCAGGCCUACCGGGAGGCACCCGGCACCGCAACACAAUCCCAACCGCAAGCACGCUUCAAUUCCUUCUCAGAUGAGUUUUGUUGUUA
rnacentral:sRNA from 1 species